CCUGAACUGAGGUCCGCGCAUCUGCUAGGAUGCUGGCGUAAUGGCUGUAAGCGGCCCGUCUUGAAACACGGACCAAGGAGUCUAACAUCUAUGCGAGUGUUUGGGUGUCAAGCCCGAGCGCGUAAUGAAAGUGAACGGAGGUGGGAACCCCUCGGGGCGCACCAUCGACCGAUCCUGAUGUCUUCGGAUGGAUUUGAGUAAGAGCAUAGCUGUUGGGACCCGAAAGAUGGUGAACUAUGCCUGAAUAGGGUGAAGCCAGAGGAAACUCUGGUGGAGGCUCGCAGCGGUUCUGACGUGCAAAUCGAUCGUCAAAUUUGGGCAUAGGGGCGAAAGACUAAUCGAACUAUCUAGUAGCUGGUUCCUGCCGAAGUUUCCCUCAGGAUAGCAGUAACGUUUUCAGUUUUAUGAGGUAAAGCGAAUGAUUAGAGGCCUGGGGGUUGAAACAACCUUCACCUAUUCUCAAACUUUAAAUAUGUAAGAAGUCCUUGUUUCUUAAUUGAACGUGGACAUUUGAAUGUAUCGUUACUAGUGGGCCAUUUUUGGUAAGCAGAACUGGCGAUGCGGGAUGAACCGAACGCGGGGUUAAGGUGCCAGAAUGCACGCUCAUCAGACACCACAAAAGGUGUUGGUUCAUCUAG
rnacentral:rRNA from 1 species